rnacentral:lncRNA from 1 species
GCAGUUGCCUGCAGGCAUCCAGAAGUGCAGUAAAUGGAACCAGGUUAAAAGGUGACUGCUGCACCUACUAUGUGCUAUGUGCCAAGAAAACAGACAAAACCUCUGCUUUCACAACAAUCUAUUGAUGGGGAAACCAUCACACCAAAGAAACAAAGAAACAGACAAUAUGUUAGAAAAAUGCCCUGAAGGAAAAUAAAACAUUGGAAGGAAUCAGAUGCUGGGGCACGUUCCAUCAGUUAGGAUGGUCAAGAAAGCCCUCUUUGAUGAGGCUGCUUUGAGUAGAAACAUAAUUGAAGGCCAGGAGGAAACCCAGUGGAUAUCAGGGGUUCUUUCAGAGGACCAUUCAGUGGUGAACAGGAUGGGUGAAGGAAGCCUUGGAUAGGGAGUAUUUUGAGCUGCCUGGGAUCCCGUGCGGAUGUACUUUUGGGAAAGAUGCUUCCCAUGUGACUGAGACUUACCAGGACUGGAAGAGGAGACACAUUCUCCAAAGAUCAUUGGUCCAAAGCCGGAACCUGCUGAUCAGAUAUAAUUUUAUUGCACAGUUCAAUACAUCAAAAGAAAAAGAAAAAAUGCUCUAGUCACCCUGUCUCUUGGUCUCUCC